rnacentral:rRNA from 1 species
GCUAGCUACAGGCUUAACACAUGCAAGUCGAGGGGCAGCAUUUUAGUUUGCUUGCAAACUGAAGAUGGCGACCGGCGCACGGGUGAGUAACACGUAUCCAACCUGCCGAUAACUCCGGGAUAGCCUUUCGAAAGAAAGAUUAAUACCGGAUAGCAUACGAAUAUCGCAUGAUAUUUUUAUUAAAGAAUUUCGGUUAUCGAUGGGGAUGCGUUCCAUUAGUUUGUUGGCGGGGUAACGGCCCACCAAGACUACGAUGGAUAGGGGUUCUGAGAGGAAGGUCCCCCACAUUGGAACUGAGACACGGUCCAAACUCCUACGGGAGGCAGCAGUGAGGAAUAUUGGUCAAUGGGCGCGAGCCUGAACCAGCCAAGUAGCGUGAAGGAUGAAGGCUCUAUGGGUCGUAAACUUCUUUUAUAUGGGAAUAAAGUUUUCCACGUGUGGAAUUUUGUAUGUACCAUAUGAAUAAGGAUCGGCUAACUCCGUGCCAGCAGCCGCGGUAAUACGGAGGAUCCGAGCGUUAUCCGGAUUUAUUGGGUUUAAAGGGAGCGUAGGUGGAUUGUUAAGUCAGUUGUGAAAGUUUGCGGCUCAACCGUAAAAUUGCAGUUGAAACUGGCAGUCUUGAGUACAGUAGAGGUGGGCGGAAUUCGUGGUGUAGCGGUGAAAUGCUUAGAUAUCACGAAGAACUCCGAUUGCGAAGGCAGCUCACUAGACUGUCACUGACACUGAUGCUCGAAAGUGUGGGUAUCAAACAGGAUUAGAUACCCUGGUAGUCCACACAGUAAACGAUGAAUACUCGCUGUUUGCGAUAUACAGUAAGCGGCCAAGCGAAAGCAUUAAGUAUUCCACCUGGGGAGUACGCCGGCAACGGUGAAACUCAAAGGAAUUGACGGGGGCCCGCACAAGCGGAGGAACAUGUGGUUUAAUUCGAUGAUACGCGAGGAACCUUACCCGGGCUUAAAUUGCAACAGAAUAUAUUGGAAACAGUAUAGCCGUAAGGCUGUUGUGAAGGUGCUGCAUGGUUGUCGUCAGCUCGUGCCGUGAGGUGUCGGCUUAAGUGCCAUAACGAGCGCAACCCUUAUCUUUAGUUACUAACAGGUCAUGCUGAGGACUCUAGAGAGACUGCCGUCGUAAGAUGUGAGGAAGGUGGGGAUGACGUCAAAUCAGCACGGCCCUUACGUCCGGGGCUACACACGUGUUACAAUGGGGGGUACAGAAGGCGGCUACCUGGUGACAGGAUGCUAAUCCCAAAAACCUCUCUCAGUUCGGAUCGAAGUCUGCAACCCGACUUCGUGAAGCUGGAUUCGCUAGUAAUCGCGCAUCAGCCAUGGCGCGGUGAAUACGUUCCCGGGCCUUGUACACACCGCCCGUCAAGCCAUGAAAGCCGGGGGUACAUGAAGUACGUAACCGCAAGGAGCGUCCUAGGGUAAAACUGA